rnacentral:rRNA from 1 species
UACAUAGGGGGCAAGCGUUGUUCGGAAUUACUGGGCGUAAAGGGCGCGUAGGCGGCCUGCUAAGUCGAACGUGAAAUCCCCGAGCUCAACUCGGGAACUGCGUCCGAUACUGGCAGGCUUGAAUCCGGGAGAGGGAUGCGGAAUUCCAGGUGUAGCGGUGAAAUGCGUAGAUAUCUGGAGGAACACCGGUGGCGAAGGCGGCAUCCUGGACCGGCAUUGACGCUGAGGCGCGAAAGCCAGGGGAGCAAACGGG